AGUCACCUGGAACAGCUGGCCCUCAGUUGGCCAAACUGGCAGUUGAGGGAAAUUAGAAAGCCUCUAAUAGAACCCAGAGGCUUCAGCUGACUGGAGAGAAGGUUCCAGAACCUUUCCCACUCUGAGGGCACAGAGCCAUAGAUUAAGGUGCACAUGCCCCCACCCACCGCUCAAAUGACCACCUGUGGGCAGAAACACAAAAGGCAGUACACAGGGUUCCUGGUUGAGAGAGGAAGUUUGACGAGUAUAAAGAAGAAGUUUUCAGAGUCAAUGCUCCCCUGACAAGGUUUGUCCAUGUGUGAGCUUUCUUUGGAGUGCACACCAGGGUGUGGACGUGUGGACGUGUGGACAUGAUGGUCUGAAGAUGUCAUCGUCGUCGUCAGCCUCAUCUCAGGGAGCACAGCAUCCUGUACCACUUGGUUGACUCCUGACCAGCACCUUUCAUCUCCACUACCUGGUGUUCAACUCUAGGUUCACCAGCCUCAUGAAUACCAGUCAGCAUAGCCGUGUGUGUGUGUUUGUGUGUGUGUGUGUGUGUGUGUGUGUGUGUGUGUGUGUGUGCCACAGCUCAUGCGUGUGGAGGCUGGAUGGAGGAUAGCUUGUGGGAGAGGGUUCUCUCCUUGUACCAUGUGGGUCCCAGGGAUGAAACCCUGACUUGGUGGCAAGCACCUUUACCUGCUAAGCCAUCUCAUGGGUUCCUAAUUUUGGUCAAAUUAAACUCAACUUCAGCUAGA